CGCACAUACAUUUAUCAAUAUAACGCAUUGUCAUCUCUACUGCCUCUGAUAUGGCGGACUCACGAAACACAUAUACCGGGUUUGUGUAAAUGAUGUCUUGAGUGUUGGAGUGUGAGAGUGUGCCGUCUAGUUUGCAUAAUAGAAGGAAUUUGAUGUAUAGCAUUCACUUGACAUUUGAGUACUUUCCCCCCAACUGUACUUAAGUACAUUUCAAACCUGAUACUUUUAGACUUUUACUCAAGUAUUAUUUUACUAGGUGACUUUCACGUUUACUUGAGAAAUUUCUAUACUUUUACUCAAGUAUGACAUUGAGGACUUUUUCCACCAUUGCAAAUUUUGUGGCCCUGUAUGUUGACAUGUUCGUACAACUGUUUAUUCAAAUGCUACUGAUGAAUGCAUGGCUGUAAUAUUUUUCACCCAAACACCUUCAGACUCAGAGUCCAACAGCAUGUCUGUGCUCCAGCAGCCUGUGUCUGAGUCAGUCCAACCAGGAGACUCUGUGACUCUGAACUGUACAAUACACACUGAGACCUGUGCAGGAGGACACAGUGUCUAUUGGUUCAGACAUGGCUCAGGAGAAUCCCUUCCAGGAAUCAUUUACACCCAUGGAAACAGGAGUGAUCAGUGUGUGAAGAGCACUGAGGCUGGGUCUCCUACACAGAGAUGUGUCUACAACCUCCCCAAGAGAAACCUCAGCCCCUCUGAUGCUGGGACUUACUACUGUGCUGUGGCUUCAUGUGUGGAGAUACUUUUUGGAGACGGGACCAAGCUGGACCUUCAAGUUCCUGAGCAUCAUCCUCCAUUUCAUCUGACUCCUACUGUUCUGUCAUUGGUCGUCUCCAACAUCGUUCUGGGGAUAGUGACCCUUCUUCUUGUCUGGGCGCUGUGCAAGAGCUGA